CCUACGGGAGGCAGCAGUGAGGAAUAUUGGUCAAUGGACGCAAGUCUGAACCAGCCAUGCCGCGUGCAGGAAGACGGCUCUAUGAGUUGUAAACUGCUUUUGUACGAGGGGAAACGCAGAUACGCGUAUCUGUCUGAAAGUAGCGUACGAAUAAGGAUCGGCUAACGCCGUGCCAGCAGCCGCGGUAAUACGGAGGAUUCAAGCGUUAUCCGGAUUGAUUGGGUUUAAAGGGUGCGUAGGCGGUCGGAUAAGUUAGAGGGGAAAUCCCUAGGCUCAACUUCGGAAUUGCCUCUGAUACUGUUCGGCUAGUGCGUAGUUGCGGUAGGCUGAAUGUCUGGUGUAGCGGUGCAAUGCUU
rnacentral:rRNA from 1 species